AUUUUUUCCGGAUUUUUUGACGAAGCGUCCGGGAUUUUCGGAUUUUUAAAAAUCCGCGGAUUAUUUAGCGGAUUUUUCCCGGAUUUUUAGCGGAUUUUUGAAGAGAAAAUCUGUUGGAUUUUCCGGAUUUGUUCGGAUUUUUUCCGGAUUUUUUGACGAAAUGUACGGGAUUUUUGGAGUGAAAUGCCCCUCGAGGACAACUAUUAUGGGAGGUUUUUUCCUCCCAAGUACAAAUAAUAUUUCCAAUUUUUGGAUUGCGACUAUUCUACAAUGAAGUACUCUUGGAU